rnacentral:lncRNA from 1 species
AGGUGAUGGUCUCACGUACCAUAACAAUCAGGCCUUCUCGACAAAAGAUAAGGAUAAUGACCGCGAUAAUAGCAGUUGUGCAGCAAAUUACAAAGGAGGUUGGUGGUAUAACCGCUGUCAUCAUAGUAAUCUUAAUGGGCUGUAUCUGGGAAAUCAACAGAAUAACAAAGGCAUACGUUGGUGGCAAUGGAAGGGAGAUCAGACAAUGAAGAAAGCAUCGAUGAUGAUUCGUAGGACAUGACCGGAAAAGACAGCUUUCAUUUUCAAAAAAAUAAAAUCAUUAUGUCGAUUUAUUUACUUUGUGAGAUAUUAUUGAUAAGUUCUUUUGUUUGAUAGUGAUGUUCAUUUUAACAAAUGUUGUAAAACGAACUUUAUGAUGUUAGUUUAAUUUUUAAAUAUUUCUUAAAAUGUCUAUAUUUUUGUUGAUGAACUGUUCGUCCACGAGGGUAUGACCAACCCAGCAAUACAUUGUUUUUACAGAAAAUGUUUGAAUGAAAUAUGCUGUUACAUAACUCUAAAUAUAAAUUAAAAUCAA